GGGAUGGGACAUGGAGCUGGGCACCUCUCCUGGAUGCCCCUGGGCUGAUCCCCCUCGACGCCCUGACGAGAGCCCUGGCCCAGCGUCUGAGAAGGAGCGGGAGCCGGGCCCGGGUUGGGGCAGGAGCCGGCAUCGCUCUCAGCACUGCCCCACACUCCCCAGCCUGCCUGCUGAGGCCAUGUCGGACUACGAGAACGAUGACGAGUGCUGGAGCGUCCUGGAGGGCUUCCGGGUGACGCUUACCUCGGUCAUCGACCCUUCGCGCAUCACACCCUACCUGCGGCAGUGCAAGGUCCUGAACCCCGAUGAUGAGGAGCAGGUGCUCAGCGACCCCAACCUGGUCAUCCGCAAACGGAAAGUGGGUGUGCUCCUGGACAUCCUGCAGCGGACCGGCCACAAGGGCUACGUGGCCUUCCUCGAGAGCCUGGAGCUCUACUACCCACAGCUGUACAAGAAGGUCACGGGCAAGGAGCCGGCCCGCGUCUUCUCCAUGAUCAUCGACGCGUCCGGGGAGUCAGGCCUGACUCAGCUGCUGAUGACUGAGGUCAUGAAGCUGCAGAAGAAGGUGCAGGACCUGACCGCGCUGCUGAGCUCCAAGGAUGACUUCAUCAAGGAGCUGCGGGUGAAGGACAGCCUGCUGCGCAAGCACCAGGAGCGCGUGCAGAGGCUCAAGGAGGAGUGCGAGGCCGGCAGCCGCGAGCUCAAGCGCUGCAAGGAGGAGAACUACGACCUGGCCAUGCGCCUGGCGUGCCAGAGUGAGGAGAAGGGCGCCGCGCUCAUGCGGAACCGUGACCUGCAGCUGGAGAUUGACCGGCUCAAGCACAGCCUCAUGAAGGCUGAGGACGACUGCAAGGUGGAGCGCAAGCACACGCUGAAGCUCAGGCACGCCAUGGAGCAGCGGCCCAGCCAGGAGCUGCUGUGGGAGCUGCAGCAGGAGAAGGCCCUGCUCCAGGCCCGGGUGCAGGAGCUGGAGGCCUCUGUCCAGGAGGGGAAGCUGGACAGGAGCAGCCCCUACAUCCAGGUACUGGAGGAGGACUGGCGGCAGACGCUGCGGGACCACCAGGAGCAGGCCAACACCAUCUUCUCCCUGCGCAAAGACCUCCGCCAGGGCGAGGCCCGACGCCUCCGGUGCAUGGAGGAGAAGGAGAUGUUCGAGCUGCAGUGCCUGGCACUGCGUAAGGACUCCAAGAUGUACAAGGACCGCAUCGAGGCCAUCCUGCUGCAGAUGGAGGAGGUCGCCAUUGAGCGGGACCAGGCCAUAGCCACGCGGGAGGAGCUGCACGCGCAGCACGCCCGGGGCCUGCAGGAGAAGGACGCGCUGCGCAAGCAGGUGCGGGAGCUGGGCGAGAAGGCGGAUGAGCUGCAGCUGCACGUGUUCCAGUGUGAGGCGCAGCUACUGGCCGUGGAGGGAAGGCUCAGGCGGCAGCAGCUGGAGACGCUCGUCCUGAGCUCCGACCUGGAAGAUGGCUCACCCAGGAGCUCCCAGGAGCUCUCACUCCCCCAGGACCUGGAAGACACCCAGCUCUCAGACAAAGGCUGCCUUGCCGGCGGGGGGAGCCCGAAACAGCCCUUUGCAGCUCUGCACCAGGAGCAGGUUUUGCGGAUCCCCCAUUGCUCGGGGUGCGGUGUCUGGGCUGCGAAGUGGAUCCUCCUCCUUUCUUGGGCACUGCAGCAGCUUGGGGGGCUUUUUGGAAGUGGAUGUGCCUGGUCCUGGUUUCCUGAGGGCCUUUACAGUGGAUGAGGAGGUGAACACAGGAGUCCUGAGAGCAAGCACCACCUCGGGCUUUGUUGUAGAAACAAUGGCCUGGAGCCCAGGCCGGAGACGUGGCUUGGCCUCCUGGGUGUGUCUUGGCAUCUGAAAUGCAGGCUACCCACACCGGCUCCCCUCCAGGGGUACAGGCAGGUCCCACAGGGAGAGCUUGGCGCUGAGCUGAGGCUGUCUGGGCUCCUCGCCUCCCAACCACUCUGCAGUUACAGGGGCCAGUGGGGGGCGCGUGAGAAGGGCGGGUUCCCUCAGGGGAGCCGGCCGGAGCCCGAGCCUUCCCCUUUCUCCAGGACGCAGGCCUGAGCAGCGGGGAGCCGCCCGAGAAGGAGCGGCGGCGCCUCAAAGAGAGUUUUGAGAACUACCGCAGGAAGCGCGCCCUCAGGAAGAUGCAGAAAGGAUGGCGGCAGGGGGAGGAGGACCGGGAGAACACCACGGGCAGCGACA